rnacentral:rRNA from 1 species
UACCGGCGAUCCAAGUCGCAUCCAUUUUUAUUGGGUCUAAAACAUCCGUAGCUUGUUUUGUAAGUUUCUUGUGAAAUUUCAUAUCUCAAGUAUGAAGCGUGCAAGAAGUACUGCAUUGCUAGAGACCGGAAGACGCAAAGAGUACUGUUAAGGUAGCGGUAAAAUGUGUUAAUCUUAACUGGACUAACAAUGGCGAAGGCACUUUGCGAGUACGGAUCUGACAGUGAGGGAUGAAGGCUAGGGGCGCAAAAGGGAUUAGAUACCCCUGUAGUCCUAGCAGUAAACUCUGCUCACUAAACAUCAGUACCUCCUCGAGAGGUAUUGGUGCUGUAGGGAAGCCGGAGAGUGAGCUACCUGGGAAGUAUAGUCGCAAGGCCGAAACUUAAAGGAAUUGGCGGGGAGGCACUACAACGGGUGACGCGUGCGGUUUAAUCAGAGUAUACACCGUGAACCUCACCAGGAGCGACAGCAGAAUGAAGGUCAGUCUAAAGGGCUUACCUGACACGCUGAGAGGAGUUGCAUGGCCGACAUAAGCCUGUGUCGUGAGAUGACUUGUUAAAUCAAGUAACAGGCGAGAUCCCUGUGUCUAAUUUCUACGAUAAGAGCACAUUAGACAGACUGCCUUGGUAACAAGGAGGAAGGUGGGGGCGAUGUUAGGUGAGUACAGCCCGAAUCUCCUGGGCAACACGCGCGCGGCAAUGCUGCAUUCAAUGAGAUGCAACUCUGAAAAGAGAAGCUAAUCUCCUAAAGUGCAGCCUAGUUCAGAUUGAGGUUUGUAACCCAACCUCAUGACGAUGGAAUCCGUAGUAAUCGUUUGUUAUCAGCGAACGGUGAAUAUGUCACGGCCUCU